UAAGGAAUAUUGGACAAUGGACGCAAGUCUGAUCCAGCCAUGCCGCGUGAAGGAUGAAGGUCCUCUGGAUUGUAAACUUCUUUUAUAGGGGGCGAAAAAAGGGAAUUCUUUCCUUCUUGACAGUACCCUAUGAAUAAGCACCGGCUAACUCCGUGCCAGCAGCCGCGGUAAUACGGAGGGUGCAAGCGUUAUCCGGAUUCACUGGGUUUAAAGGGUGCGUAGGCGGGUUGUUAAGUCAGUGGUGAAAUCUCAGAGCUUAACUCUGAAACUGCCAUUGAUACUAAUGAUCUUGAAUAUUGUGGAGGUAAGCGGAAUAUGUCAUGUAGCGGUGAAAUGCUUAGAUAUGACAUAGAACACCCAUUGCGAAGGCAGCUUACUACGCAUAUAUUGACGCUGAUGCACGAAAGCGUGGGGAUCAAACAGGAUUAGAUACCCGCGUAGUCC
rnacentral:rRNA from 1 species